UACGGGGGUGCAAGCGUUGUUCGGAAUUAUUGGGCGUAAAGCGCGUGUAGGCGGUUUGUUUAAGUCUGAUGUGAAAGCCCUGGGCUCAACCCAGGAAGUGCAUUGGAUACUGGCAGACUUGAAUACGGGAGAGGGUAGUGGAAUUCCUGGUGUAGGAGUGAAAUCCGUAGAUAUCAGGAGGAACACCGGUGGCGAAGGCGGCUGCCUGGACCGAUAUUGACGCUGAGACGCGAAAGCGUGGGUAGCAAACAGGAUUAGAUACCCGCGUAGU
rnacentral:rRNA from 1 species